AACAGGUCUUCACCACUGAAGCCCCCGAGCCAGCCUCCCUCCAGGAAUCAGGUCUUCCUCGGGGCUGUAGGGAAUCUUGAUGGAGAACUUGAGUGGGUCCAGCACGAAGAAUACAGAGAAUAGCAGCCCCGUGGAGCUCCCAUAUGGGAGCAGACCAGCCCCUGAGACGGCACAUAUCUCAGCAUGACUAACCCUCAGCACAACCCCAUGUGGACUGGAAGAGGUCAGUUUUCAUUCCAAUUCCAAAGAAAGGCAAUGCCAAAGAAUGCUCAAACUACCGCACAAUUGCACUCAUCUCACAUGCUAGUAAAGUAAUGCUCAAAAUUCUCCAAGCCAGGCUUCAGCAAUACGUGAACUAUGAACUUCCAGUUGUUCAAGCUGGUUUUAGAAAAGACAGAGGAAC
ensembl:lncRNA